CAAGAAUCAGCUUUAUAGCAGAAAGAGGAAUGUAAACUUGUUCGCUGUCCGUGCCUCCUCUGAUGACCCUGAUGAUUGUAACGAUGAAGAAUGCGCCCCUGAUAAAGAGGUUCAUUUUUAUUUUCUCUACCCUUUUCUCUAAAUUUACUGUUCUUGUUAUUUCCUUAGAAAAAUUAGAAACUUAAAACUUUGUGUUGCUUAGCUUAGGUGCUACUAGUGCCACUGUUUAUUAAAAAUCGACUCAAAGGACAGUGGCAGCCCAUUGUUUGACAAAAUGGUCUGGGAGACCCUCUUGUUUUCAUAAAUGGUCACAGAGAUCCACUACUUCGCCAAAGCAUGGGGGUGUAGCGGUCCUUUUCCCUUUCAUUUUACAUUUUACAGAAAUUUCCAUUAAAUGGUGGUUGUAUUUGUAUUUGUUUUUGCAGGUGGGAAAAGUGAGCAUGGAAUGGUUAGCUGGGGAAAAGACUAAAGUUGCGGGUACAUUUCCACCUCGGAAAAGGGAGUGGACAGGUUAUGUUGAGAAGGAUACUGCUGGCCAGACUAACAUUUAUGCUGUCGAGGUUCGUUAUCUUAUCUAUUAUUGAUUGCAUAUGAAGCUACUUGCCUUGCAUUAGGAUGAGGAUAUAAAUGUGUUUGCAGGACCUGUUUAGUGAUAAGGAAGAAUCCCCUGCCUCUUAUACUUAUUCACUUAAAUAAUAAUCAACUUGUGUGUAAUUUUACUAAAUUUAGGGUAUGUUUGAAACUAUUGUGCUUCUCGUUAAUUUUGAAACCGAAACAGCUCAAGUAUAUACCUACUUGUGAGAUUCAACAAGUGUGGACUAAAAGCCACAAUAUCUCAUUCCAUACCGUAACCAAGACAUAUUGAGGAUAAAGAUGAAUUUAAAGCCUCCAACUUUAUGACUUGAAGCUUAUGGUAUGUUUACUUGAGGGUUUAGGGAAUGAGAAUGAGAGAAUGAGAAUGAAAGUAUGAAACCCAUGUUUACUUGGCAAAACGUAAUUUGAAAAUGAGAAUAAAAUGUAUGGGUCUCACACAAUUUGGGAAUAAGGAAUGGGAAUCUCAUUCUCAAGGAGGGUUGGGAAUGGGGAUUCCCAUUCCCUCAACUGACUUUUUUAUCCCUCUAAUUUUUUCAUAUUUCCCGAAUUAUUCUCGUUCAAAUCACAAUUAAUUUUAUUAUUUUAAAUGU
rnacentral:lncRNA from 1 species